GACGAACGCUGGCGGCGUGCUUAACACAUGCAAGUCGAGCGGUAAGGCCUCUUCGGGGGUACACGAGCGGCGAACGGGUGAGUAACACGUGGGUGACCUGCCCUCAGCUCUGGGAUAAGCAUGGGAAACUGGGUCUAAUACCGGAUAUGACCUUUCCUCGCAUGGGGUUUGGGGGAAAGUUUUUUCGGCUGGGGAUGGGCCCGCGGCCUAUCAGCUUGUUGGUGGGGUGAUGGCCUACCAAGGCGACGACGGGUAGCCGGCCUGAGAGGGCGGCCGGCCACGCUGGGACUGAGGCACGGCCCAGACUCCUACGGGAGGCAGCAGUGGGGUAUAUUGCGCAAUGGGCGGAAGCCUGACGCAGCGACGCCGCGUGGGGGAUGACGGCCGUCGGGUUGUAAACCUCUUUCGACCCCGACGAAUUUGGACGGUAGUGGUAGAAGAAGCACCGGCCAACUACGUG
rnacentral:rRNA from 1 species